UUCCAAAGGCUCACUGGACUGAUAUUUAGAGAAUGGCUAUUUAAUGAGCUCCCCAAUGGCCAAUGGUUGAAGACUAUGCAGCUUGGGUGCGUUGCAUACAGGAUGGAAGAAGUUAAUCUCACGUGACCUUACUAUUGACAAUGACCCAGUUGUUUUAACCAACUAUAACACAGUUGGUAAGAUGCCAGUGCUAAGGACAAAGAUCGCCGCCUGACGGAGCUGGGAGCGACUUUUCUGUAUCGGUUCCUCGGACUGCGCACAACACAGCCUAAUCAUAAUAAUGGCACCGAGCACGGUAACCCCUACUGGGAGUCAACCACUGGCCAAACAUCUAACAUGAACUUGCUCAUUCACCCAUGUAUGCAGCAAAUACUGUUGUUGGCAGAAAAGACACUGGCAAUAAACAAAAUAACCCAAA